UACAGAGACUGCAAGCGUUAUUCGGAUUCACUGGGCGUAAAGGGCGCGUAGGUGGUUCUGUAUGUCUACCGUGAAAGCGUACGGCUCAACUGUAUUUUGUCGGUAGAAACUGCAGGACUUGAGGCUGGGAGGGGCUGGUGGAAUUCCCUGUGUAGCGGUGAAAUGCGUAGAGAUGGGGGAGAACACUCGUGGCGAAGGCGGCCAGCUAGACCAGUUCUGACACUGAGGCGCGACAGCGUGGGGAGCAAACAGG
rnacentral:rRNA from 1 species